CCAAGAGCUCCUCAAGCAGAGGAUACUCAAUUGGAAAGGAGGCUCUUGCAGUCAAAUUUGGGGCUAGUGGGGUUACCACGUUUGAUACCAACUAGGAACAAGAUCCCCUUAGAGGCUUCCAACUGAGGAGGGUUCCAAAAGAGAGCUCCAUAGCUGAAAUGAUUCAAAAGAAGCCAACUCCUUCUCAUUGAUCUGGCCCUUUGGAAUAUGGCCCCCUCCUCCCACGGCAUCCUUCCCCCUGCCCAGUGCCUCAGGCCCAUCUACAUGCUUCUACCUAUAGGCUUUGCUUCUUCUCUGGAAAGGAGCGAAGAAGGAAAAGAAUCAUUGGAGAAUUGAUCUCAAACACUGUCAUGAAUCCCCAAGGGCCAGAGAGACACACAGCAUGGACCAAGGAAGUGAUUUUCCACCCCUGAGGCAUAACACCAG
rnacentral:lncRNA from 1 species